ensembl:lncRNA
AGUCUCUGAGUCUCUGUCUUGCCCUCCAGGAGCUUUCUGAAGAAGUCAACCAGUGCGUAAUCACCUGAUACUAUGCUAUGACUUCCAUGUGUGCUUUUGCAAAAUGCUUUGUUUAUACCUGACCUUCUGAAACAGGUCUGGCCCUGCUGAGUGGACCGUGCUCUCCUGGAUAUUACUGCACAAAGGAAGCCACUUCAUCCAGGCCUACAGAUGGUCACAGGCAGCAUCUGCCCUCCAGGAACUUACUGUGAGAGGGCUCCAGUGCACCACAGCCAUGUCCAGUGGGGAUUUUCUCCCCAGCAGCGGGCCUCAUGAGCAAGGAUGAGUGUCAGCCCUGUAGAGCAGGUUACUACUGUGCUACCCCAGGCCUUCAGGCUCCUACUGCACCCUGCAUGCAGGGUGAGAACAGCACAGACCAUCACUGUGCAAAACCCAAUUUAAACAAUUUCUACAACUUGUCCUUGUCUUUUUUUUUGGUAGGUUGGCCAGACAGAUGACCUAGCUCUGCCAUGUCUGGUCAGUCAUUACUGUCCCCCAGGAAGCCCUGUCCCAAUUCUUUGUCCAACUGGGACAUAUCAGGACAAGCAGAAGCAGGCGAACUGAACAAUCUUUGAAUCAGGCAAGCUGCAGCCAUCUAAAGCAAACUGUGUGACACACUCCCACAUUUCUAUUUCUGAAAAGCAUACUGAAGCUUGUAACCUAUUUUCAAUGUUUCUCCUACACCAGGGUUUUAUUGUGAUGAAACAUUUGGGGCUGCAAAUAUGUCUGUCCUGCAGUCUUGUCCGAAGGGACAUUACUGUCUUAAAGGAACAGGCUCUGCUGAACAAUUUCCAUGCCCUGCUGGCACCUAUAACCCUCGUGAGCUCAUUGACAGCCAAAACAGCUGUCUAUCGUGUCCGUCAGGACAUUACUGUCCAGAUGCUGGACUUGAAGAACCUACAGGACUGUGUUUGGCUGGUUUCUGGUGUAGAGAAGGCUCCCAUUCACCCAGUCCUAUGGAUGGUCCUACAGUGGCUGUUUGUCCAGUUGGUCACUAUUGUCCAAAAGUACAGGACUAAGGAGUGCUGAGGAGUGCCAGUCAUGCCCUGGAGGGUUUAACUGUGCCUCUACUGGUCUGACUGAACCAUGUGGACUCUGCUCUGAUGGGUAUGUGCCAAGUAAUACAUACACUGUAAUUGCAUUACUGACUGGAUUAACCUUUGGCAUCAUACAGUACUGUAUGUCCCUGAAAGGUUUUAUUGUGCCGAGAAAGCUGAGACUCCUACUCCUAUUGAUGGAGUCUCUGGCCACAUCUGCCCAGAGGGUCAUUAUUGUCCUCCAGGAACCACUCGCCCUGUGCCAUGUGAUCCUGGGACUUUUGUAACCAUCACUCAGGCCUCUCAGUGGUACUGUGUGGAUAGAGCCCGGCUGCUGUGCCCAGAUGGUUGGUGCUUUGGUCUUUUGUUGAUUAUCUUCGAAAUGGAGUACUAGUGUACUGCUUACUGGAUGCGGCGCUCUAUAUACUCCUUACAAUUUUUAAAAAAAGUAUGUGAAACAGUAUGCAUUAUGCAACUCUUCAUAUUUUAAACAGUAGUGUGCUAUUUUACCCAUGCAUAUUUAAUUCUGUGAGAGACAUCCAGUUAUCGUUUUUAUAAAAAUUGUUAUUGUGAAAGUUUUGUAAAAAUCAAAUAAUUCAAAUAAAAUCACAUAUUAUUUUUUAAUGCA